rnacentral:rRNA from 1 species
UACAGAGGGUGCAAGCGUUAAUCGGAAUCACUGGGCUUAAAGGGCGCGUAGGCGGGCUCAGAAGUCAGGGGUGAAAUCCCGCGGCUCAACCGCGGAAGUGCCCUUGAUACUGUGAGCCUCGAGGGAGGUAGGGGCGUGCGGAACUUCCGGUGGAGCGGUGAAAUGCGUAGAUAUCGGAAGGAACACCGGUGGCGAAAGCGGCGCGCUGGACCUCUUCUGACGCUGAGGCGCGAAAGCCAGGGGAGCAAACGGG